UGGGGAAUAUUGCGCAAUGGGGGGAACCCUGACGCAGCCAUGCCGCGUGAAUGAAGAAGGCCUUCGGGUUGUAAAGUUCUUUCGGUAUUGAGGAAGGUUGAUGUGUUAAUAGCACAUCAAAUUGACGUUAAAUACAGAAGAAGCACCGGCUAACUCCGUGCCAGCAGCCGCGGUAAUACGGAGGGUGCGAGCGUUAAUCGGAAUAACUGGGCGUAAAGGGCACGCAGGCGGUUAUUUAAGUGAGGUGUGAAAGCCCCGGGCUUAACCUGGGAAUUGCAUUUCAGACUGGGUAACUAGAGUACUUUAGGGAGGGGUAGAAUUCCACGUGUAGCGGUGAAAUGCGUAGAGAUGUGGAGGAAUACCGAAGGCGAAGGCAGCCCCUUGGGAAUGUACUGACGCUCAUGUGCGAAAGCGUGGGGAGCAAACAGGAUUAGAUACCCUGGUAGCCCACGCUGUAAACGCUGUCGAUUUGGGGGUUGGGGUUUAACUCUGGCGCCCGUAGCUAACGUGAUAAAUCGACCGCCUGGGGAGUACGGCCGCAAGGUUA
rnacentral:rRNA from 1 species